rnacentral:rRNA from 1 species
AGAGUUUGAUCCUGGCUCAGAAUCAACGCUGGCGCGCGCCUAACACAUGCAAGUCGAACGAGAAAGGGGAGCAAUCCCUGAGUACAGUGGCGUACGGGUGAGUAACACGUGGAUAAUCUACCUUCUGGUGAGGAAUACCCCUGGGAAACCGGGAAUAAUACCGCAUAAGCUCGAGAGAGGAAAGCAGCAAUGCGCCGGAA